rnacentral:misc_RNA from 1 species
GAAAUGCGAUAAGUAGUGUGAAUUGCAGAAUUCAGUGAAUCAUCGAAUCUUUGAACGCACAUUGCGCCCUUUGGUAUUCCUUAGGGCAUGCCUGUCCGAGCGUCAUUACGCACCCUCAAGCCCGGCUUGUGUGAUGGGCCCUGGCGUCUCGUUCGCGAGACGGGCCCGAAAGGCAGCGGCGGCGUCGACCCGAUGAGCCCGAGCGUAUGGGGACUUUUGUCACACGUUUGCGGUGCGGACCGGCGCCUGCUUGACUUUUCUGAUUAUUCAGGUUGACCUCGGAUCAGGUAGGGAUACCCGCUGAACUUAAGC